rnacentral:rRNA from 1 species
UGCGUAGGUGGCAGGGUAAGUUCGGUGUGAAAGCUUCGAGCUCAACUCGAAAAUGGCAUUGAAUACUAUCCUGCUUGAGGGUCGGAGGGGAGACUGGAAUUCUCGGUGUAGCAGUGAAAUGCGUAGAUAUCGAGAGGAACACCAGUGGCGAAGGCGGGUCUCUGGACGACUCCUGACACUGAGGCACGAAAGCUAGGGGAGCAAACA